CACCAGUUAACCCAGGGGCGCUGCUGGAAACGGUCGCAACCUUUUGCUAGGCCUCCGGAAAACUGCGCGAAAUGAAUGCGGAGAAAACCAGGCAAUCUGUUUCCACCGCGCAGUUUCCUCACUGCAGCUGGGCUUCCGGCCAGGUGUCCGCGGGGCCGGGUGUCGGGCUCGCCCCAGGUGGGCGGUGCUGGGGACCUACCUCGAGGCCCAAGAAGGCGAGGCCGCCCUUUCCCACCUUUUAAACUCCCUGCUUCUGGGUUUCGCUCUGUGAGCCGCCCGCGUUCAGAGAGAAGGCGGAGGAUACCCUCGCCGGUGUUUACCAGGAGGCUUUCAGCGCCUGGCUCUGGGGAGAGCGCGGUGAGGGCUCCCGCCUGCAGCCCUUGCGCUGCAGGGUCGCCACGAACGUAGCGCGGGAGGAGGAGCCCGGGCGGCGCCGAUGCUCUUCCGCAGUGGACUGCGGGCCCCUUGGCGGCACUGGGCAGGCAGAGCCGGGCCGAGACGUCGCCGGGUCUCCGAGAGCGGCCAGAGCCACCUUCGGGACGUCGCCGGUCACUUUGUCCCGGGGGAGAUGGUGACAGUGACCUGGCUUUAGGAUGAGGAGUGUCUGAGCCAGAGCGCUGCAAGAGCCUGAGACUGUCCUGCCCAGUGGGGAUAGGACCAGCAGAUGCCCCUGGGCAGAAGUGGAGACCAAUCUGCUACAGGGAACUUCUGAGGCUUCCUGUGAUGUUCUGCGAAGAGGACUCAAAGCUCAGGUGCAGCGGAGGAAAUUGACAGGAAGCUGAGGCCUGUGGACCACAGACCAGGAAGGGCCUUCGCACCCAUCCUGCAUUUCCAAGGAGUGAACUGAGGGUUAUGGGAACCAUGACAACGGCCCUCCAGGAGGAAACCAGUGGUGCUCUGUCCUGUCCUGUCUUUUCUGUCUGCAUUGGGGGAGCCUUGGAACUGCAAGCUGGCUGCGUCUCACGUGGGAGGGGUGAGAUGCCUUGGGGGGGACACAUCACUGCAUGACCAACUUCUUCUGGAACGCUUGGGGCCAGCAGAGCUGCCGUCUGUUCUACCCUGGCCUCAGGCGCCACCUUUGCCUAAAGAGUACCUGGCACCAAGGAGAAACAUGAUGUCAUGAUGUCAUUAGAGCCAGAUAACUCCUCCUGGCCAGCCCUGCCCAGGGUCACGGAGCACAGAAUUUGGACUAGGCCCCAGUCUCUCCCGACUCCAGGGCCACUGUCCUUUGCUUACAGAGAUAUUAGCAAAAAUUAUUUAAAAGCAUUCGAUUUCUAAUAACAUUCUCGUUCCAUACCUAUCUCAAUGACUGCUGGAAACAGGUAGGCACUUCCUCCUUAGGCUCCAAGUCCAGGUGACCUUCCUUAGUGGCCAAUGUUGUUUUUUAAAACCACGAAUUUCAGAGUUGACUCUGGUAGGUUGAGUCCACACGGACACGUAGACAUGCUGAUGACAUGUCUCUUGCCCAUGGUAAGAGUCUCUUAAGGGUAAGACACAACAGAAAUCAAAGUUGAAGAAGUGACAGAUGUCCAUAAAGUCCUCUCAGUGGAGGACUUGGUCCAAAUGGAUGAGGUUGGAGUUGGCAUCCUUCUCACAGGGACACCAGGCUGGGUAGUUUGCUGGGAGCAGGCCUGUCAGAUUCCCUGGCUACCUAGAUGCUUAGCAGCCCUGGGAAAACCCAAGUCCACAGACCAAGGUUUUUCUGUUAGGUCUCGGGGUCCUGGCAGCUUGUCUUCUGCCUGUCCCUGUGCCUGUCCGGCCAGUUCCCCGCCCUUAGUUCUUAUUGCAACAGGCCCUCACACCUCCCCCGCUGCCACUCUCCUGACUCCAUGGGUGGAUGCCUCUCUUGUGAGCUUCCCAAGCACCUUGCUUCCUGAGAGCCUACUGCUUCCCCAAAGCCCCAGAGCCCUGGACGUUGCAGGGACCUGGGAAACAAAGCAGAAGGCUUUUCCGGGAUGUGACCCCUGCAGAGUCCCCCACAUGGCCUGGAGUUUCCUUAAUGAUGGUAAGGAGUCUAAGAUUCUAAACUGAAAAGGCAGCUGGUCAAGUGAGACAGUGACAGGGAAGAGGAAUCUGAGGGGAAAAGAGCUCCGAGGUGAACUGCGGGGGCACGGGUGCGGGGGGGAGUGUGUGUGUGCAGGGCGCGGAUCUGAGGUCCAUUUUUUUGUCUCCCACUCUCUGAAAUGACUUUCACACCUUUUUGUCACCCCCCCCAAACCUCCCAUGCCCUACCUCUCCUCCCUCUCAGCUGCUACACUGCUUCCUGUUUAACCAAGAAAACAGAUAAACCGCCUCUGAUUUUAUCAAUAGGCUGUGGACCCCACCCCCCUUCCUAACCAAGGACAUCCCUCCUGCAACUGACCUCUAUCUACCUGCAUCACUAGGUUUUCCCUCCGUAUGGGAUCAUUGUCAAGCAAAUAAAAUCACUCUAGGAGAGUGAAUUUUUAAAAAUCAACUCUAUUGAGUUAUGAUGUGGCUAUAAAAGGCACCCAUUAUAAGUGCAAAGUUAGAUGAGUUCUGACACGUGUACUCCCCUGUGUAACUGCCACCACCGCUGUGAAGUCAGAGGUCGUUCCCUUCAACCCCAUGAGGGAUCCCACUGCUGAGGAGCGCUCCCUUGUACGGACGCAGCACAAUUUGUUCACGCCUUUGCCUGUUGGUAUACAUUUGGGCUAUUUCUACUUUUUGGCUAUUAUGAACAAAAAGUGCAGUGAAAAUGUAUACGUCUGUGUGGAUGCACGUUAUUUCUCUUGAGUAAAUAUCUACAGGCGGAAUAGCUGGGCCAUGUGAUAAUCUAUGUUUAGUUUUACUAGAAACUUCCAAACUUGUUCUCCAAAGUGGCUCUACCAUUUUACAUUUCCAUAGUGGUCCAUGAAAGUUCUAGAUGUUGCAAUUAGUAUUGCCAGUUUUUUCUCCCUAUCUUUAGCCAUUCUAUCGCGUGUAUAGAGGGGUAUGCAUUUUGGUUGUAAUUUGCAUUUUUGUUUUAUGACUAAUCGUGUUGAGCAUCUUUUCAGGUACUCAUUGGCUAUUCAAGUAUCAAGCACAUGUAUUGUCUCACAGUUUCCAUGGGUCCUGCAGGCUUGGCUGAGCUGGGCCUUUGGCUCAGGGUCUCACAAGGUGUUGGCCAGGGCUGCAGGUCUUUUUCCAGUCACACAUGGUUGUUGGCAGAAUUCACUUCCUUGCAGCUGUAGAACCCAUGGUGAUUCAGGCCAGAGGGAAAGCUUUGCCGCUGCUUCUAGAGCCUCAUUUAAAAGGCUCACCUGAUUAGGUCAGGCCCACCCACUGGUAAUCUCCCUUUUGUCUGACUCAAAGUCAACUGAUCAGGAGCCUUAAUUACAUCUGUCAAUCCCUUCAUAUAAUAUGAUGUAAUCCAAUCACAGGAGUGACAUCCACAAUAUUCACUGGUCCCACACAUACUGUAGGGGAGAUUAUUAUACAUGGGCAUGGGUCAUCUUAGAAUUCUUCUUACCACACCCAUUUUCAAUUGGCUGGUUUGUCUCCUCCUCACUGUGUUAUAUGAGUGCUUUAUAAAUUCCAGAUACAAGUCCUGUACAGAUACAUGUAUUGCAAAUAUUUUUCUCCCAGCCCCUAACUUGCCUUUUCAUUUUCUUAAUGGUGUUUUUGGAAGAACCGAAAUUUUUAAUUUUGAUGAAGUCCAAUUUGUCAGCUGUUUCUUUUAUGGUUCACACUUCAUAUUUCCCCACAAGAAAUCUUUGCCUACCUCAAGUUUACACUAUUGUCUCCUAUGUUUUCUUUUAGAAGUUUUAUAGUUUUAUAUUUAGUUCUGUGACUCAUUUUAAGUCAACUUUUGUGUAUCCUGUGAGAUAAGAGUUGACAUUCACCUUCUUUUCCCAAAUGGAUAUACCAUUUUACCAGCAUUAUCUGCUGAAAACACUGUCAUUUCCCCCGUUGAAUUACCGUGGCACUUUAAUUGAAAAUCAAUGAAUAUGGGUCUACUUCUAGACUGUUAUUCCAUUGAUUUCUAUUUUUAUACUUAAUCUAUAGUAACCUACUUGAUUACUGUAUAUUUACAUUGUCUUAAAAUUUAGACAGAUUACACCCUUAAGCUUUGUUCUUUUCCAAAAAUUUUCUAUUUUAUGACCUUUUGAUUUCUGUAUAAAAUCUCAGAAUCAGCUUGUCAGAUUCUAAAAAUCAGAAAUAAGCCUGCUGGGAUCUUGACUGGGAUUGCAUCGAAUACGUAACUCAGAGAGAAAUGCCAUCUAACAAUAUUGAGUCCUCUAAUCCAGAAGCCUGGUAGAUAUCUCCAUUUAUUUUCUCCCAGCUUCGCUUUAUAGUUUACAGCAUACAUGUUUUUCACAUGUUUCAUUAAAUUUUCCUUUAGUAUGUAUCACCUUUUUAGAUGCUUUUAUAAAUGGUACUUAAAACUUUCCCUUUCCAGUUGUUCACUGUUAAUGUAUAGGAGUGUAAUUGAUUACUGCGAUAUUGGCCCUGUAUUUUGUGACUUAGCUAAAUUCACUUAACAGAGUCCAGUAGAUUUUUUUUAAGAUUCGUUAGAAUUUUCGAGUACCUGAUCAUAUCAUCAGCAAAUAAAGUUUUGGUCUCUCCUUUCCAAUCUGUAUGCCUUUUUGCGCUAGCUCGGACCUCCAGCACAAUGUUAAAAAACAAACAAACAUAAAACUGGAGAGACCAGACAUCCUCACCUCAUUCCCAUUACGAAGGAGGAAAGCCAGCCUCUCCUGAGGAUUAUUCAGUAGCUGCGAAGUCUCAGGCAACAGUUCUGAAUCACUUUCUCUCAAAGAAGCAUGCACACACCCAUAAAGUUUUCUAUAAAUUUCAGUGGAUUGACCUCCAUGGAGGCUGUAUAUGUACCUUAUUUGGUUGUAUGGACCCAAAGUUAAUAAAUCUUUGACUAACAUCAGGCCCUGCCUACAGAAAUAAGAGGAAGAUAAAAGUGGGCUUCCAGCUGCUUCGACAGAAAUGGAAAACAAAGGGAAUCUCUGGACUACCGAGAGUUAUGACCAAACACCCCCGACUACCAGUCUAGGGCGGGUGGAUGCCCGUACCCAUUUAUAUGAAGAUGGCAGUGCCGGGACCCUGAGCUGAGUUGAAGACAGAUGAAAUCUGAAAGACCAGGGACCAGAUCUUCCCGAAGGAAGGAGAGAGCAAUGGUGUCACCUUGAGAAGGUGAUGUUUUCAAGACCUGCCAAAUCUUCCUAAUUAGCAGGAGGGUGGACACCAAAGGGAACUAUGUGGAAUCUGUGACUGCACCCGCUGACUGUUCACAGCGUCCCAGAGUGCACAAAGGAUGUUAGUGCCAGUACAGCCUUCAACCCGCAUAAUUAUUACCAAAACUGGUCCUUUACUGGAAUGACUCCCUCACGCUUAACAAUUCUGGUGUUCCCAUCUCCUCAUGCCCAUGUCCCAAUGUGGGAAAACAGGUUACUCUCUGGGCACUUCUUUAGGGGAAAAGACCCCCUUUCUCUGUUGGAUUGGCUGGGCAGUGCAGGUGGGGCCAUCUCUGGGCAGCCAUUUCCUAAUAAGGAUACUCUUUACCUCGGAAGGUUCCAGUGAAUGAUGGAAGAGAUAGCAGACAUGAUGUUCUGAAAAGUUUGUAUUGCCUUGCAAAUAGAGGGCAGUGUUUUCUGGCUCUUCUCCUUGCCCCCCCCCCAUAAAAAAACACGUGACCUGCUAGGAUGCUUAGGAGCAAAAUAUUACCCAUCUGUCCCUGGGGAUGCCCAGUUGAAUAAUGUCUCUUCCAAAAACACCCGGCAUUGGGGGAAAUGGAGUGUGUACCUAUGUGGUAACCAGAUGUCAUGGAAGAAAGACAAGGGCACACACCAUCAGUGCCACAUGGUAGGCUUUACGGGGUGGGGGGAUCCUACAAGCAAAAAAGUAGAGUGUACAGGAUUCCUGAGCUCCCAUCAUCCCAUAGAGAGCUGGCUACAUUGGGCAAAACUGGACCGGACACAUCACGGACAACACCAUGGGAAAGAGGAGCCCUCAUGUCAACAAAACUCUAAAGAUGCAUGAGGAUGGGGUGCGGGGUUAAUGCUGGACUUCCGGAGCUUUCUCAAGUGGGGUUUCUGGGGAUCUCCAAGAAUAUCCUGACUAGAGGAGAAAGAGGAUGGGAAAGAGGGAGGUCGCCUCACUCUGAACACCACUGUCCUGCUCCCCUGGGAUUAUGACAGUUCUGACAGCCCCAUUAACUGUCCGACUUAGAAGGCCUCUGGACACGGAGCCCCUGCUACUCUCCAAACGACCCUCUAUUCCCUCCGUAUCUUUCUACCAUGCUGUCCUUGGCCACAACCCCCUGCUGAGCUCCUUCUUCUACUAAACGUUCCAUUCUAUUCAGCAGUUACUUCUAGGACACCUUCCAAAAGUCACAUCUUUUCUAGAUUCUGAGGACCUGGAAAAGGAUGAUGCAAAGGGAGUUCCCUGGAUGGGGCCCCCAUACACGCUGUCUCGUCUCUGGGUCUCUAGUCCAUCCUACCCCAGCAGCAUCUCUCUAAGGCCCAGCUCACCUGUGCCCCUCGCAUCCGUGUUUCUUCACUGCAUCCAGGCUGAAACCUAGAACAUUUCAUACAAAGCCUUGGUUCCUCUGGAUGUUCCUCUGUCCUUGGGCUGUGCCCCCUUCUCUGUCUGCGGUGUUAACCCUCACUGCUCUCCAGGCCUCACCUCUGCCCACUCCUACUGGCUCACGUGGCCCCACCAAUGCCCAUCAUUUGUCCUGGUCCUCUGGUGUGGAAUGUGGCUUCCACCAUCCAUGGUGGGCACUGAAAUCCAGCCUGUCCUCUACUCUCGCCUCACCUCCAGGAAGCCUUCCUUGACUGUAGCCGCUCUCAUACCCUCUCUCCCUCCUAUGGUUUCCUAGAGCACGUGAGCUCUGAACCUCAGCACUCACAUGGCUGGGGUUGCUCUCCAGCUGUUUCUCCUGAAUUCUUCCAUCAAUGGGGAGCCUCCUUAGCCAGGGACCACACAGCCCUGAGAUCAGAGGGGAGGAAAGAGCUGUUCCUUGCUGCCUUCUGAUGCCUAGGCCUGGUAUAAACAUGGAAGAACGUGUGCUAUGGAGGAAUGAUUACAAGCUGAGCAUGAGGGUCCUGAGCUCUGUCCUCCAAUGAUCCCUAAGCCUAUUGUUUCUAUCUCUGGGCCUCAGGUCCUGAAGCUGUGAAAUGGGAGCAGACGGGCUGAG